rnacentral:rRNA from 1 species
AUACGGAGGGUCCAAGCGUUAUCCGGAAUCAUUGGGUUUAAAGGGUCCGCAGGCGGUCAAUUAAGUCAGAGGUGAAAGCCCAUCGCUCAACGAUGGAACUGCCUUUGAUACUGGUUGACUUGAGUUAUACGGAAGUAGAUAGAAUAAGUAGUGUAGCGGUGAAAUGCAUAGAUAUUACUUAGAAUACCGAUUGCGAAGGCAGUCUACUACGUAUAUACUGACGCUGAGGGACGAAAGCGUGGGGAGCGAACAGGAGUAGAUACCCUAGUAGUCC